rnacentral:lncRNA from 1 species
AUAAACGUCGAGUUCCUCCCAUUCAUCCGUUGAUGCUUGGUCGAGUCUUCCCAGUUCAUCCGUUGAUGUCUGGUCACCUCUUCGUUGGUGUCGGUAAACGUCGAGCUUCUCCCACUCAUCCGUUGAUGUUUGGUUGAGUCUUCCCCAUUCAUCCGUUGAUGUCUGGUUACCUCUCCGUUGGUGUCGGUAAACGUUGAGUUUUUCCUAUUCGUC